GUAAUGGUAAUGGUAGUGGUAUGAUGAAAAAAACAGAAUAUAUACAAAUAAAAAAUAUAAAUUUUUUAAAUAAAUUAAAGUCAUGUGAAUCAAAAUGUAGGGAAAAAAAAAUGUAGUAUUUUUUUAGAGAGUAAAAAAAAAAAUAGUAGUAGUAGCACGUUAAGCAAAAUAGAUGAAAUGUGGUUAACAAAGAUAAAAAAUUAUUAUAUAAGCGAAAUGAAAUUAAAAAAGUCAUUAAUCCCAUUUUUAAGAAAUGCAAAAAAAACAAAACAUAGUAAAAAUUUAGAAAAUAAACACAUUUUUAAAUUUUGUUCUGACCGGAUGCGCUUUGACAGUUUAUUUUUUGAUAUUAUGGAUGAAAAGAGUAAAGAAUAUGAUGGGAGUUACAUGCAAAGAGAAAAUGCAAAUGUUGCAGCGCGUAGAGGCAUAAGUGGAGAUGUCGUAAGUGGAGAUGUCGUAAGUGGAGAUGUCGUAAGUGGAGAUGUCGUAAGUGGAGAUGUCGUAAGUGGAGAUAUGGACAAAAAUUUAAAAACGAAUAGAGGAAAAAAAUUGAGCAUAGGUUUAAAUAAAAGUGUACAUAUUAAUAAGAAAACAUAUGAAUUUGAUUGUUUUAAAAAGAAUUUAUGUGACGCUAAUGAUUACGAUUUUUUUCAAAACUUAAGGGGUUGUAGUCAAAAUACGUUUUUGGAAUAUACAACUGGGGGUAAUGGAGGUAGAGCAUCCUUGGGUGUGAAAAACGAUAGUAAUGAAAAAAGAUGUAGCGAUAGUAAUAACAAUAAUAACAAAGAUGGAGGUAAUAACAAAGAUGGAGGUAAUAAUGAUUGUAAAAAAAAUGCAUCAUAUAAUAAUUAUGAUAAUAAAAAAAAAUAUUAUUCAGAUGGAGCAGAAUAUGACAAAAUAAGAAAAAAAAAUGGAAAGUAUAAAAAAUAUACUCAUUUUUUAGCUAAAGAAAAUAAAGAGAUAAAAAGGAAACAAUCGAAUAGUAACGACAAAAAUAGUAACAAAAAAAAUAGUAACAAAAAAAAUAGUGACAAAAAAGAUAGUGAAAAAAAAUAUAGUGACAAAAAAGAUAGUGACAAAAAAGAUAGUGAAAAAAAAAGAUAGUGACAAAAAAGAUAGUGACGAAAAAGAUAGUGACAAAAAAAAUAGUGACAAAAAAGAUUGUGACAAAAAAUAUUGUGACAAAAAAGAUUGUGACAAAAAAGAUUGUGAAAAAAAAGAUAGUNNNNNNNNNNGUGACAAAAAAGAUUGUGACAAAAAAGAUUGUGAAAAAAAAGAUAGUGACAAAAAAGAAAGCAAUGAAAGUGAAAAUUUUACUAAUAAUAUAAAAACAAAUGUAAGUAUACAUUUAUUUGACAACAGGAAAACGUAUUUUUUUAAAAAUGAGUAUACUAUACGAAAAUUACUUAAAAUAGCUUUAAUUGGUGGAAGUAAAAAAUUAAUACAAAAAUUAUAUGACUUGGGUAGAAGUGAUGCAUAUAUGUGGUUAUAUUUGGAAUAUUUAUAUGUCGGUAUGUUCAUAUAUAAUAAAAUUUAUAACAUAUAUUUAAAGUUAUGUUCG
rnacentral:lncRNA from 1 species